rnacentral:tRNA from 1 species
GCCGGGAUAGCUCAGUUGGUAGAGCAGAGGACGGAAAAUCCUCGGGUCACCAGUUCAAAUA